AAAUCCUGCAUAAAGCUGCGUGCCCAAUAUGCCACAUCAUGUGUACUGACAUAUCGGUAAUGCUUCUCAUGGCGCAACUGCUUCUCAGAUUCACGCAUGGUGAUGGCCAAAUUCAAGGCAUCAGCCACAGCUUCUAUGUCCCAUGGGUUUACCCUAAUUGCUCCACUCAAAGAAGGCGAACAACCAACAAACUCUGACACAACGAGCAUGCUUGUGCGAGGAGAAUCUGAUGUUAUACCCAUGGCUUUGUCCAUAUAUGGGGUUCC
rnacentral:misc_RNA from 1 species